GAAAUGCGAUAAGUAAUGCGAAUUGCAGAAUUCCGUGAGUCAUCGAAUCUUUGAACGCACAUUGCGCCCUUUGGUAUUCCGAAGGGCAUGCCUGUUCGAGCGUCAUUAUCAACCCUCAAGCCCAGCUUGUUGUUGGACUCGGUGAGGUCAUCCUCACCAGCCUCAAAGAUAAUGACGGUGCCUGGAGGACCCUCGGUACAAUGAGCUUUCUAAAGCACGUAUUGAAGUGGACUUCGAGGCCCGGUCUCUUUUAACUAUUUACAAGGUUGACCUCGGAUCAGGUAGGGAUACCCGCUGAACUUAA
rnacentral:misc_RNA from 1 species